AUACCUUUCUCGGCCUUUUGGCUAAGAUCAAGUGUAGUAUCUGUUCUUAUCAGUUUAAUAUCUGAUACAUGGGCCAUUGGCCCACUCGAUGUUAAAUUAAUUUUUUGAGGGGGAGGGUACAUUACGGUAGCUUGCUACUGGGGUUCUCAGGCGUAGCCCAAGCUCUGCACUAUUGCACCUUACCCAAUUCAA
rfam:Gossypium raimondii chromosome 13, whole genome shotgun sequence.